rnacentral:rRNA from 1 species
AGCAGCCGCGGUAAUUUCAGCUCCAAUAGCGUAUAUUAAAGUUGUUGCAGUUAAAAAGCUCGUAGUUGAAUUUCGGGAUUAGUAGGUUGGUCGUGCCUCUGGUAUGUACUCGCCUUACUGAUUCCUCCUUCUUGAAGAACUGUAAUGCCAUUAAUUUGGUGUUGCAGGGACUCAGGACUGUUACUUUGAAAAAAUUAGAGUGUUUAAAGCAGGCCACUGCCUGAAUACAUUAGCAUGGAAUAAUGAAAUAGGACGUUGAUCCUAUUUUGUUGGUUUCUAGGAUUGACGUAAUGAUUAAUAGGGAUAGUUGGGGGCAUUAGUAUUCAAUUGUCAGAGGUGAAAUUCUUGGAUUUAUUGAAGACUAACUACUGCGAAAGCAUUUGCCAAGGAUGUUUUCAUUAAUCAAGAACGAAAGUUAGGGGAUCGAAGACGAUCAGAUACCGUCGUAGUCUUAACCAUAAACUAUGCCGACUAGGGAUCGGAUGAUGUUAAUUUUUUAAUGACUCAUUCGGCGCCUUACGG